rnacentral:rRNA from 1 species
CUACCCUUGACAUGUCAGGAACUCUGCAGAAAUGCAGAGGUGCUCGAAAGAGAACCUGAACACAGGUGCUGCAUGGCUGUCGUCAGCUCGUGUCGUGAGAUGUUGGGUUAAGUCCCGCAACGAGCGCAACCCUUGCCAUUAGUUGCUACAUUCAGUUGAGCACUCUAAUGGGACUGCCGGUGACAAACCGGAGGAAGGUGGGGAUGACGUCAAGUCCUCAUGGCCCUUAUGGGUAGGGCUACACACGUCAUACAAUGGCGCGUACAGAGGGUUGCCAACCCGCGAGGGGGAGCCAAUCCCAGAAAGCGCGUCGUAGUCCGGAUUGAAGUCUGCAACUCGACUUCAUGAAGUCGGAAUCGCUAGUAAUCGCGGAUCAGCAUGUCGCGGUGAAUACGUUCCC